rnacentral:rRNA from 1 species
UACGUAGGGUGCAAGCGUUAAUCGGAAUUACUGGGCGUAAAGCGUGCGCAGGCGGUGAUGUAAGACAGUUGUGAAAUCCCCGGGCUCAACCUGGGAACUGCAUCUGUGACUGCAUCGCUGGAGUGCGGCAGAGGGGGGAUGGAAUUCCGCGUGUAGCAGUGAAAUGCGUAGAUAUGCGGAGGAACACCGAUGGCGAAGGGCAAUCCCCCUGGGCCUGCACUGACGCUCAUGCACGAAAGCGUGGGGAGCAAACAGG